rnacentral:rRNA from 1 species
UACAGAGGUCCCAAGCGUUGUUCGGAUUCACUGGGCGUAAAGGGUGCGUAGGUGGGCAGGUAAGUCAGUGGUGAAAUCCUGUAGCUUAACUACAGAACUGCCAUUGAUACUAUUUGUCUUGAAUACCCUGGAGGUGAGCGGAAUAUGUCAUGUAGCGGUGAAAUGCUUAGAUAUGACAUAGAACAUCUAUUGCGAAGGCAGCUCACUACGGGAAUAUUGACGCUGAGGCACGAAAGCGUGGGGAUCAAACAGG